CAUUAGAUGGCUGAAUGUAAGUACUGGUCUCUUAAACCACUAAAUAGAUGAUUAACACCUUCUUCUAAUGA
rnacentral:tRNA from 1 species